CCUACGGGAGGCAGCAGUGAGGAAUAUUGGUCAAUGGGAGGAAUCCUGAACCAGCCAUGCCGCGUGCAGGACGACGGUUCUACGAGUUGUAAACUGCUUUUGUACCGGGGCAAAAUGCCUUACGCGUCGGGUUUUGAAAGUACGGUACGAAUAAGGAUCGGCUAACUCCGUGCCAGCAGCCGCGGUAAUACGGAGGAUCCGAGCGUUAUCCGGAUUUAUUGGGUUUAAAGGGUGCGUAGGCUGUUUUGUAAGUUAGCGGUGAAAUCCCGGUGCUCAACAUCGGGGCUGCCGUUAAUACUGGAGGACUAGAGAUCGAAUGAAGCAGGCGGAAUGUGUAGUGUAGCGGUGAAAUGCAGAGAUAUUACGCAGAACACCGAUUGCGAAGGCAGCAUGCUAGGCCGGAACUGACGCUGAUGCACGAAAGCGUGGGGAUCGAACAGGAUUAGAUACCCGAGUAGUC
rnacentral:rRNA from 1 species